rnacentral:rRNA from 1 species
UAGUGCAAUGGCAUAAGCUGGCUUGACUGCGAGAGUGACGGCUCGAGCAGGUGCGAAAGCAGGUCAUAGUGAUCCGGUGGUUCUGUAUGGAAGGGCCAUCGCUCAACGGAUAAAAGGUACUCCGGGGAUAACAGGCUGAUACCGCCCAAGAGUUCAUAUCGACGGCGGUGUUUGGCACCUCGAUGUCGGCUCAUCACAUCCUGGGGCU